GGAAGGCGAAAUGGAAACUUGUUGAUGAUGUUGUCCCAUAUAUUUAAUGUUAGGUUGGAAAUGUUUUAUAGAUAGAGAAAAUAUAGAAAAAGUGAAAAAAAUAACCAAUAAUUUGAAGUAUGAGAAAGACAAGGAAACAUAAAUUGACUAUAGAAAAGUCACAUUCUUAGAAAUGCGAACUUGUACCAUAACACACAAAAC
rnacentral:lncRNA from 1 species